CCACGAGAUGCCUGGGGAUUGUUGGAGAUGUCGCGAUGCCAAUGGCACCGCCCUCCACAUCUGGUGGAGCUGCCUGGGCAUCGCCCCCUUCUGGACCACGAUCCAAGAGACCAUUAAGCAAAUCACAGAUAUUGCCCUUCCACUACAACCCCUCACCAUGAUCCUCCAUCACACUGACAUGACCCUUUCAGUAUACAAGAAAUCUCUGAUAAAACACCUAACGGCAGCCAUUGCACUGGUCCCUACAAGGUGGAGACACAAGGAUGCGCCCACACUCAAGCAGUGGAUCAACAAGGUGGGGGAACUAUAUAAUAUGGAAUCC